rnacentral:rRNA from 1 species
UACGGAGGGUGCGAGCGUUGUCCGGAAUCACUGGGCGUAAAGGGCGCGUAGGCGGCUUCUCAAGCGUGUGGUGAAAGUCCGGGGCUCAACCCCGGAUCGGCCGUGCGGACUGGGGAGCUCGAGUUCUGUAGAGGCGGGUGGAAUUCCGGGUGUAGCGGUGGAAUGCGUAGAUAUUAGGAAGAACACCGGUGGCGAAGGCGGCCAUCUGGCUCGGUACUGACGCUCAGGCGCGAAAGCGUGGGGAGCAAACAGG